GUGUGGGGAAAGUAUUACUUUUCUCAGCAGGUAACCUGACUUCCAGUAUCUAGCUGGUAGUAUCCUGUUGUUUGUUGAAGUGAAAGGCGAAAGGCGAGCUAGCCAAGAAAACAGAAAACAAACGAAGAAGACGAAAGGUGAAAAAUGAGGACCAAAAAGAUCGAAUGGGUUAUGAGUUGUGUCAAAAACCAAUGACUCCCACACCAAAUCAAUAGGGAUAAUAAAAUAUGAGGUUUCCUU
rnacentral:ribozyme from 1 species